rnacentral:rRNA from 1 species
UGCAGUCGAGCGGACCGACGGGAGCUUGCUCCCUUAGGUCAGCGGCGGACGGGUGAGUAACACGUGGGUAACCUGCCUGUAAGACUGGGAUAACUCCGGGAAACCGGGGCUAAUACCGGAUGCUUGAUUGAACCGCAUGGUUCAAUCAUAAAAGGUGGCUUUUAGCUACCACUUACAGAUGGACCCGCGGCGCAUUAGCUAGUUGGUGAGGUAACGGCUCACCAAGGCGACGAUGCGUAGCCGACCUGAGAGGGUGAUCGGCCACACUGGGACUGAGACACGGCCCAGACUCCUACGGGAGGCAGCAGUAGGGAAUCUUCCGCAAUGGACGAAAGUCUGACGGAGCAACGCCGCGUGAGUGAUGAAGGUUUUCGGAUCGUAAAACUCUGUUGUUAGGGAAGAACAAGUACCGUUCGAAUAGGGCGGCACCUUGACGGUACCUAACCAGAAAGCCACGGCUAACUACGUGCCAGCAGCCGCGGUAAUACGUAGGUGGCAAGCGUUGUCCGGAAUUAUUGGGCGUAAAGCGCGCGCAGGCGGUUUCUUAAGUCUGAUGUGAAAGCCCCCGGCUCAACCGGGGAGGGUCAUUGGAAACUGGGGAACUUGAGUGCAGAAGAGGAGAGUGGAAUUCCACGUGUAGCGGUGAAAUGCGUAGAGAUGUGGAGGAACACCAGUGGCGAAGGCGACUCUCUGGUCUGUAACUGACGCUGAGGCGCGAAAGCGUGGGGAGCGAACAGGAUUAGAUACCCUGGUAGUCCACGCCGUAAACGAUGAGUGCUAAGUGUUAGAGGGUUUCCGCCCUUUAGUGCUGCAGCAAACGCAUUAAGCACUCCGCCUGGGGAGUACGGUCGCAAGACUGAAACUCAAAGGAAUUGACGGGGGCCCGCACAAGCGGUGGAGCAUGUGGUUUAAUUCGAAGCAACGCGAAGAACCUUACCAGGUCUUGACAUCCUCUGACAACCCUAGAGAUAGGGCUUCCCCUUCGGGGGCAGAAUGACAGGUGGUGCAUGGUUGUCGUCAGCUCGUGUCGUGAAAUGUUGGGUUAAGUCCCGCAACGAGCGCAACCCUUGAUCUUAGUUGCCAGCAUUCAGUUGGGCACUCUAAGGUGACUGCCGGUGACAAACCGGAGGAAGGUGGGGAUGACGUCAAUCAUCAUGCCCUUAUGACUGGGCUACCACGUGCUACAUGGGC